AGAGUUUGAUCCUGGCUCAGAACGAACGUUGGCGGCGUGGAUUAGGCAUGCAAGUCGAACGAAUCCCAGCGGGCUUGCUCGCUGGGGGAAGUGGCGAAAGGGGCAGUAAGGCGUGGGUAACCUACCCCGGGGACCGGGAUAGCCGCCCUAACGGGCGGGUAAUACCGGGCGACGUGGCCCUGGCGCAUGGCAGGGUCACCAAAGGAAUUUCGCCCCGGGAGGGGCUCACGUGGUAUUAGCUGGUUGGUGGGGUAACGGCCCACCAAGGCUGAGAUGCCUAGCGGGUGUGAGAGCACGACCCGCGCCACUGGCACUGAGACACUGGCCAGACUCCUACGGGAGGCUGCAGUCGAGGAUCUUCGGCAAUGGGCGCAAGCCUGACCGAGCGACGCCGCGUGCGCGAUGAAGGCCUUCGGGUUGUAAAGCGCUGUCGAGGGGGAGGAAAGCCCCGCAAGGGGCCUGACCUAUCCCUGGAGGAAGCACGGGCUAAGUUCGUGCCAGCAGCCGCGGUAAGACGAACCGUGCGAACGUUGUUCGGAUUCACUGGGCUUAAAGGGCGCGUAGGCGGGCGGUCAAGUCCGGGGUGAAAUCUUCCGGCCCAACCGGAACAUGGCCCGGGAUACUGGCCGCCUCGAGGGGGGUAGGGGCAUGCGGAACUUCCGGUGGAGCGGUGAAAUGCGUAGAUAUCGGAAGGAACGCCGGCGGCGAAAGCGGCGUGCUGGACCCCCCCUGACGCUGAGGCGCGAAAGCCAGGGGAGCAAACGGGAUUAGAUACCCCGGUAGUCCUGGCCCUAAACGAUGGGUACUAGGUAGUGGACUUGACAUGGGUUCCCUGCCGAAGCCAAAGUGCUAAGUACCCCGCCUGGGGAGUAUGGUCGCAAGGCUGAAACUUAAAGGAAUUGACGG
rnacentral:rRNA from 1 species